CACCACAAGGAGUGGAUUGUGCGGCUCAACUUGACUCAACACGGGAAAUCUUACCAGGGUCUGUAUAUGUGAGACUGUCCCAUUUAUGGUGGUACACGAUAAUAUACUGAGUGGUGCAUGGCCGUUUUCAACACGUGGGGUGACCUGUCAGGUUUAUUCCGGUAACGUGUGAGGUCACAGUAUUAAUAAGUAUUUUAAUAGACAGCUAAUGGUAAAUUAGAGGAAGUGUGACGAUAACAGGUCAGUGAUGCCCUUAGAUACCCUGGGCUGCACGCGCAAUACAUUGAGUAAGUCAUUUACAAAGGUAAUUUUGAAACUUACUCGCUACUGGGAUCAUCCUUUGUAAUUGGGAUGUGAACGUGGAAUUCCUAGUAAUCGUAGCUCACUAAGUUACGAUGAAUGUGUCCCUGUUCUUUGCACACACCGCCCGUCGCUAUCUAAGAUGGAUGUUGAUAUGAAAUUGCUGCUUGAAUGUGAGGUAAUUGAGUAUUAACAACUAGAUAAGAUAUAAGUCGUAACAAGGCUGCUAUAGAAGAAUCUGUGGCAGGAUCAUA
rnacentral:rRNA from 1 species